GUCUAGAUAGCUCAGUUGGCUAGAGCGCGGUGCCGGUAAUGCCAAGGUAGCAGGUUCGAUUCCGGCAUGGGACA